UACGUAGGGGCUAGCGUUGUCCGGAAUCAUUGGGCGUAAAGAGCGUGUAGGCGGCCCGGUAAGUCCGCUGUGAAAGUCGGGGGCUCAACCCUCGAAUGCCGGUGGAUACUGUCGGGCUAGAGUGCGGAAGAGGCGAGUGGAAUUCCUGGUGUAGCGGUGAAAUGACGCAGAUAUCGGGAAGAACACCGAUGGCGAAGGCAGGUCUCUGGGCAUUAACUGACGCUGAGGAGCGAAAGCAUGGGGAGCGAACAGG
rnacentral:rRNA from 1 species